rnacentral:rRNA from 1 species
UACGUAGGGUGCGAGCGUUGUCCGGAAUUACUGGGCGUAAAGAGCUCGUAGGUGGUUUGUCGCGUUGUUCGUGAAAACCGGGGGCUUAACCCUCGGCGUGCGGGCGAUACGGGCAGACUUGAGUACUGCAGGGGAGACUGGAAUUCCUGGUGUAGCGGUGAAAUGCGCAGAUAUCAGGAGGAACACCGGUGGCGAAGGCGGUUCUCUGGGAAUAUCCUGACGCUGAGGAGCGAAAGUGUGGGGAGCGAACAGG